AAAAUUGAAAUCUCUCUCAAGUUUAGGCAUGACUAUUAUGAAUUAAGAUUUGCUCUAAACCUGAACUUGUGGGAAGAGUACUUGAUCUAGAGUCUAAGUCGUUAACAAAUACAAUAUGGGAAGGUCGAGCUGUUGUUUAUCUGUUCCUAGAAAUGCUAGAAUUCUAGAGAAUUUUAUCUUUGAAAAUCUUUAAAAUGUUGCAUGAUGAGUUCCUGUAUGAUGAGAGUUUAAAAUUCUACCACAGCCAUAUAUACAUGCUUAUUAGACUAUGAACCAUACAUUUACUUUUUACUACUUAUGAGCAUUGAGUGUGGUCAAGCUGUGUAGACCCUUAGGAGCUUGUCAUGCGGUUAAAAUCAAGAUUCACUUGCACGUUCACUCUUGCAUGCUACUUCCACUCUGGAAGUACGCAUCCACAUACAUCCACUCAAUUCCAUCUCCAGAUUCAUCUAAAAUUAUUCUACUCCUAUCUGGGAGAGAAUAGCCAAAAACUUUUUCCUAUCCCAGUUAUUCCCUGUGAAAUAAAUGCUCGAGUUAUCUUGGUUACUACCACUUGCUAUAUUAUUCUAGGAGGAUGAGUGCUCUCAAAAAAAUGAAUACGAGGAAAUAAAAAGGGGCAAGUGCCCGGAACCUCGAAGAAAAGGAAAAGUGAGACGAGAGGUAAAAAUGGACAAGCGUCCGACAGUAGAAUUAGGGGUACAAGAUACCCACCUGAGAGAAAAGAAAAAAAUAUAGAGCAUCUCAUUCUCCUCAAAAAGCUUCAAAGUGCAAGCAAGGUAUGGAUCCCCUAAAAGAGCAAAAGUAAAAUUAGACUUUCACCAUUGUUAUCACCAUCAUCACCAUACACCAUUCACUCGCCACACAUGCACAUCUUGAUUUGACUUAUUGACUUGGUUCUCUGGAUCCAUGGUUUGACUAUACAAUAAAUGUCUUGUAAGUAUGUAUACUUUAUCUCCCACCUAUGAGCUCCAGAUAUCAAAACCUUAUUAGAGUAGGAUGAGAGAGAAGGCAAUGUCACUAUGCCUCAUACCACAAAUACCACAUACUUUGAGAGAAGGCAUAUACCAUCACUGCCUUGGUAAGGAUCUAGAAAUAUCACAAAAGAGAGAUCUGAGAGAGCCAUACAAAGGAAUCUCUGAGUUUUAUUUGAAAAUCUGCAAAAAAAAACUCCAGGGGCCAGGAGGCCUGCUUAUCUAGGAGGAGGCACCUCUGCAUCCUUAUUUAUUAUUCAUAGACAGAGCAAAAGCUAGGGUUUGGAGAUGAGAGCUCUCCUCUCUUCUCUAAACUAGAGUAGAUAUAGAUAAUAGCGAGAUGGAGAGCAAGGGAGGAUUGGAGGAGAGGCCGGCCUGUCGGUUCUUCCUCCGGUUGUACUUCGCCAUGAUCAAGCUCUAAUCAAGCUUGUUCAUGGGAUGAUUCUAGUAAUCUACUUCUUAUUUCAUUAUGUAAUUACUAUCCAUGUAUGUUCUGGUUCAUAACUCUUUUGAGUACUUUAAUUCAUAUGACGCUAUAGGUUAGAGUUGUAGUAUAGGUAUAAGCGUGGUGCUUAGACCUAGAUUACUUGUGGAUAUCCCUUGUUAGCCGGAUCGCGUGGUAGGCCACGUAGGUGAUAGCUACGUAGUCCUCUGUAGUCCACCUCCCGUUAACAGGACUGGUAGGAGUCCUCGACCUUAGGUAUAAGCAUCCUCUGUGUUGUUUUAUACUUAUGGUACGCCACAGACAGACAUACCCCUUUGAAGUAGAGAAACCCUAGUUAUCCUCUCUAUUCUCCUAUUAUUGCCUAUAUAUUAGAUUGCUCUACUCUAUAUUCCCCCAUUAUCAUUUUACCUUUAAUAUUGUUCUUAUUCAAUUCUAUCACAUUUCCUAUUUACACCCACGUGUCUGUCUUGGUUAAGUUAGAGCGUAGUUAGUUCUCCCGUUUCCCUGUGGAUACGAUAAAACCUUUAACCGGGUAAAAGCUACAACGGUAUCCGUGCGCUUGUGGAUUUAUCUGUGUGUGUAUAAAUACCAUAGUACACUCUAGUGCCAUGCUGGGGAUGACAACCUAGUAUUCAAGUGGUGUUAGCAAGUGUCAACAGUACCUUUCUAGAUUUCCUCCAUUGCACCAAGCAUGACCUUAUGCUUUACUUCACUUAUCACCAGAAUUGCUGAUUCUAUGGGUUUGCUUGAAACAAAUGAAGUAGAGUACAUCUAGGAUGAUAGAUCUAUUUUAGAUGAGCAGAUUUUCAGAAGUGCAAAUUUGAUUAAGAGAGAUCCCAAAAAUGGCCUUAAAAUGAUUUAUGGGAACCAUCCUAUUGAGGUCUCUCUCUCCAAUGAGGACCUUUGGUUGUCUAAUGCUUCAUCACUAACCCUGAAGCUAGGAAGAGAGAAUAGAACCAACCCUGUUGCAGGGACAUACAGAAUGACAAGAGCACGGCCCCAUGCUGCUCAACAGCAAGCUGGUCCCUCUUAUGCACCACAAGGGGAGGAUGAGGUGAGCUCCAUGCACACGGAAACACCUCAUCACUCCAGGACGUCUUCAGCAACGCGCACCCCUUGCCCUCGUGGUAGGGGGAGGCGCCAACCACCAUCCGAAAUGGAGACACUCAUUAGCGAUAUGGAGAACAUCAACAUCGGACAACAGACCACCUUGCAGCUCAUGCAACAGAACAUGGACAUGGCCCAAAGCCUCCAAGCUGAGAGUGAAUACCGAUGGGACCAGUGGUUUGGGUAUCAACCACCUCAGUGAGCAAGAAGGCAAGCUUGGGGGAGAUUCUCUCCCCACUAAGGUAAGUUUAUCCAGGGUAAGUUUCCAAACACCCUAAUUUAAUUCUUGCUUUAUUGCAUUUUGUUUGUUUCCUUCUUGCAUCUAUAAAAAAGAAAAAAAAUAUUUAUUUACUUUAUUUCCUUUUUUAUAUAUGCUUCAUGUAUGCUAUCCUUCGUAUGGAAAUGGUGAUGAAAUUGCUAGUUAAUGUCUUUCUAGUACUUGUUUACAACUAUUAACGGUCCUUAAGUAUCAAAUAUAAUCAACAAAUAAAUAGAGAAAAGGACCCAAAUGCAACCGACACACAGACUUAGGGUUUUAUCUCACAGAAUUCCACGAGUUUUGGUGUUUGUCUAUAUCUGUAGGGGGUUAUUAGGAAAUAUGGAGGAAAGGCCCACACGUUAGGUUUACAUAGAGAUAAUUACAUGCCGCACAAUUUUCCCUAACCUAGAAGAGUCUAGAAGCCACGGGAACGAGCGGGAGGCCGAGCGGGCUCGGGGACAGGGCGCCCGCCCUGCUGCCUGGGCCAAUCAGGCUCCGUCUCGUGGAUAAUGCUCCACUGACCUAGAGGAUUAAGGAAAACCGUGCGAUUAAGGUCGGUUUGAUCCGACGGCCCUUAUUCAUUUGGAGGGACUAUAUAAGUAGGCCCCCUGGCCCCUGGAGGAGGCACCUCUGAAACCUUAAUUCAUUCAUUCAUCUCGGGAGAAGAAGUCUCUGAUCAAGCACUAGAGCCACCACAUCAACUAGAGCUACAUAGGAUUAGAACUAGAAGGAGUCAAUCUUCGAUUGGUUUCCCGAUCUGUCAAGAGGAUUCUCGGUAAUUCCUCUACUGUUCUUCAAUUGUUCAUCAUUGUUCUUCAAUAUUAUGAAUAUGACUUUGUUCUACUUCAAUAUAUUGAUUAUGACUUUGUUCUACUUGUUUAUAUUUGCAAUUAUAUCAUUCUUAGUUUAUCAUAGUUAUAUGCUUGGCUUAGUUAGAUUAGAAUUAUAUACAUGUUUAGGAUCAUAUAGCGUUUAUCCAUGUGUACAAUGGGUAAAUGAUAAGUAUUGUGUAGGCGUGGUGCAUAUACCGUAUUUAUCUGCGAUGGUACCCUAUAUGCCGGAUCGCGGGGUAGUUCGUGGUGGUGACAGCUCCAUUGAUUCUUAUAUAGUCCCCCUCCCGUGUAAAGGGCAGGGAGAACAACAUUAUUACAGGGGAGUGAUGGCUAUGUUUCUCAUCUUCCUUGAUAAUAUCACUAUACAUGGGCGUAGUCCUGUCUCGCAAUGAUUGCCAAGUAUAAUUGCACUAACUAUGAUAUGCUAGACUUUAUAGUUAAGAAUAACUUAGGAAAUAUUCUUGUAGUUCAUCCUAAUUCCAUGCUAAUCACUUGCUAGAAUAUCUAUUGAGGUGCUUAUCAUUAUUAUAUGUGGAUAGUUAUGCUGAUCAGAUUAAUUAUCUUUGUCACCAUUCAUACUUUAUCUAUAUUUUAUGUGACAUUUAUCCCUGUAUGAAAGAAAUAGAUAAAUGCUCUCUAUUACACAUGCAAUGAUAGAUACUCAAUUCCAUAUUUCAUUCCAUAAUCAACAUUGAUGAUUAGCAAUCCCUUCCCAGUGGUAAAAAUAUAAAUAACGAUACCUUGAAUACUUGCCGGUUAAAAUGCUACAUUGGUAUUAAUCUGUGUGCUUGCAGAUCUCAUUUAUUAUUCAGAAGAACAAUUGCAUAUUUCAAUACCGCGUCUCUCAAGUCAUGCUGGGGAUGACAACUUGGCUUAAGUGGCACGAGGGAUAGGUUUGGCAUUUUUGGCACCGUUAUCAGAAUUAGAAAACUAAGUCUACUUUUGGUAAUGACGUUAAGAAUGCCCAACAAGCAUUUUUGGUGCCGUUGUCGGGGACGGUUGAUUACUAAUAAGGAAUGAAUACGGAAUUUGGAGUCAUCAUUCACAUCACUAAUAUGAUUGAGAUUAUCAAUUCUCUCAUACAACUUUACCCCUGUAUUUUUUCUAUUUUGAUUAUUUUAUGCAAGGUAAUGUAUGAAUAGAAGACAUCUUCCAGGAAAUUUUGUUGACGACCCUGAAGCAUAAUUCAGAAAAACCAAAGCCAAGCUCAGAUCGUCAACACUUCAGCGCAAAGCUUCGUCCAAACCAGAAGACCGCCGAAGUUUCAUCCGGAACUUGUCGACCGAGUUCAAAGCCAUGGUGAACAUGUCGAUCAGCGAGUUCUCAGCUCCCACUAUGGACAACAUCCGCACUGGACCUGCUGUGGAGAUCAACCGCAACUUUGAGCUCAAGCCUAGGCUCAUCAACAUGGUGCAAGCCAACCAGUUCUAUGGGAAGGCGCACGAAGACGCUAGUGCUCAUCUCCAACACUUCUUGGAGAUUUGCAGCACAUUCACCAUGUCAGAAGUCCCCAGAGAUGAUAUACUACUUCACCUCUUCCCAUUCUCAAUGUUGGGGAGAGCGAAGCAGUGGUUCUACGCUACAAAUGAGAAGAAUACUACAUGGGCACUUUGCUCCACGAACUUUCUGGCUAAGUUCUUUCCCAUGGGCAAGAUCAAUGCCCUCCGUGGGAAAAUUACAAGUUUUCAGCAACAACAUGAUGAAUCCGUUCCAGAAGCAUGGGAGCGCUUCCAAGACUACAUCCUAGAAUGUCCCCAUCAUGGAAUGGAGAGCUGGCUGCUGAUGCAGACGUUUUAUCAUGGGCUCGGCAAUAGUGCCCUUGAGACCAUGGAUGCUGCAGCUGGAGGAGCAUUCCUGUCACUCACCAUACCACAAGCCACAGCUCUUGUGGAGAAGAUGGCAUCCAACCAAGGUUGGAAUGAAGAAAGGACCCAGACACGCAAGAGAGGUGGAGGUAUGCACCAGCUCAAGGAGGUAGACAUGCUGUCUGCCAAGCUAGACCUGCUCAUGAAGAAGCUCGAUGAUAAAGCUAGAGAUAAGAAAGAGGUCAUGCACAUCUAUGACUCUCACAUGACUUGUGAGGAGUGUGGAGAUACCGGACACUGAGGCAAUCACUGCCCUGAGAUGCUUGAGGACGUGAACUACAUCAACAACAACAACUACUACAACAACCGUCCUCAGCAAAAUCAAGGUUGGAAUCAAUAGAGGCCUAACUUCUGAGGUAACUACUGAGGUAAUUAUCAAGGUAACAAUUCUUGCAAUAAUAAUAAUAAUUUUCCACUUCUGAGAGAGUUAGUGUCUAAUCAAGGAAAGCUAAUGGAUAACCUAUCUAAGAAAUUGGCAUCUAAUGAUAAAAUGUUAAAAAAUAUAAAUAAUAGAAUGGAUAAUUUCUCUACUGCCAUCAAGAAUCAAAUUAGCUUUAAUCAAAUAGCUACUUCUGUUCCUGCUACUAACCCCGGUAUACCAUCACAAUCGCAAGGAUUAGAAUCUGCAAAUCUUGUAGACAUGUUUGAUGUAGGUAACUACUGGAGUAACCCCGUUGUGGAAGUAACUACUGACCUUCUGCCGGUCAAGAGAGGCAAUCCAGGAUGCCCCGUCAUCCCAAUCUCCAUCGGCAUGGUGGACUUCCCAGAAGCACUCUGUGACUUUAGCUCCAGCGUCAACAUUAUGCCCAGGGUACUCUUUGACAAAUUCAUUACAUGUCCUUUAUUAGAAACAACCAUGUGUUUGUAGCUUGUAGAUCAGACACUAAGUUCCCAAGGAGAAUAUUGAAGAACCUCUGUGUCCGAGUUGGUGCCUUGUACGCCCCAGCAGACUUCGUGGUGAUAGAGAUCGGUACUAAUGAGAGGGCACCCAUCAUCCUAGGGAGGCCAUUCCUGAACACCUCGGGAGCUGUCAUCUAUGCUAGUGUUGCCAAGAUCAGUUUCUACAUCAAGGGGAGGAAGGAGACGUUUUCCUUCAAGAACAAGACUACACAAAUCCUAGAGCAAUCCUGACAUGAACCAAGGAAGAGGACCAACAGGAGGAACAGGAACAAGCAAGUGUGGAGCGAGUCAGCUAAGAUGGUCACUGCAGUUCAUGGAGGUCAAGAUCGUCGACUCAAGUCACCAUUCCUGACCAAGAAGGACGACCCAGUGAAGGGUCGAGAUGGCAGACUAGAGGGGGGGUGAAUAGUCCUUUCUAAAACUUAUCGCGCCGGCUAACCGAAAAAAAUGCGGAAUUAAAACUAUCGGUCUAUCCAAGACUACACCCAUCUAUCUAAGUUCUCUAGCACCUUGAAAAGAUCCUAAACAAGCAAGCAAGGUGCUACCUUAGCAAGAGCUCACCUAACCAAAUCUAGAAGCAAGGUCACACAAACCUAUGCAACUAGUACUUUGCAAACCGAGGGAGCUCCUAUACAAACUAGUGAGGCAAAGCACACAAAGCCUAAGCUCACUAGCAAGCUCAAUAACAAGGCAACUAAUACCAAAUUAGACAGCGCAACUUACUUAGCUACACAAACUAAGCAAUGUGACUAACAAGGUUACACAAACCAAAUUAGUCACGCAAGGAAACUACUUCUAGCUACACAAGCAAGAAGGUAACUAGCAAGCUACACAAGCUAACUAAUUACAAGAGCAACUACACAAGCACAAGUAUAUGAAUGUAAGAACAAGCUUGUGUUUGGGACUUGCAAACCAACGGGAAGAACAAUGUUGACACGAUGAUUUUCUCCCGAGGUUCACUUGGUUGCCACCAAGCUACGUCCCCGUUGAGACAAGCUCCAAUGUUGCCGUCGGUCCUCUUGGUAGUGGUGACCCGCAAGUCACACUCUCCCACGUGGAGUGCUUACCACAAACUCUAGCACUUGACCCGGUCGGACCACAUUUCGCUCUUCACGUCUCGCUCAACUAGAGUUGCUCUUCGCGAUCCCCGCGGGGUGAGCACCGUACCCCUCACAAUCUCUUCUCCGGAGCACCGCACAAUCUCCUUGCAUGCUUCGACGGAGUCACAAGCCACCAAGCCGUCUAGGAGGUGCCAACCUCCAAGAAUAACAAGCACCACCAGCUUGCAACAUGAACACCUAGUGUCACUCGAUGCAAUCUCUCAAAGCAACGCAAUAGAAUCGCUCACUCACACAAUCGGAUGAUCACUAUCAAGCAUAUGUGAGUUAGAGGCUUUACUAGCACUCCCCAAGCAUGGACACUAAGUCCCAAGGGUGCUCGACGCCAGCCAAGGCCGGCCACCACUUCUAUUUAUAGCCCCAAGGGCUAAACUAGCCGUUGCCCCUUCAAUGGGUAAAGACGUGAGCUCCGGACUCACUGUAGGUAGCACCGGACGCUUGAACAGUGCGUCCGGUGCUCUAGAAACAGCCACGUGUCACUAGCCGUUUGAACUCGACCGUUGCCGCCAACGGCUAGCACACGCACGCGCGUCUGGAACAGUAGCACCGGAUGCUUUGCUGCUUCACACCGGACAUGUCCUGUGCGCACCGGACACAUACGCAGAGAGCAACGCAAACUUGCAGCAGCACCAGACUCUCAGCGUCCUGUGGCACCGGACUGUCAGCGUCCUGUGCCACCGGACUUGUCCUGUGCGCACCGGACUCUCAGCGUCCUGUGCCUGCAGUUCAACUUGUUAGGUUGCUAACUUCUAGCUCCGAACUCCGAAUUCGAUGAUCUUGGAUAUUUUGGAAAGCUUACUUAGAGUGCUAUCCAAUCUAUAUGAAUACUCAAUACAAAUCAAAAUGGAUCAAAGCAGUAUUCCAAUCUAAAAGCCAUCCUAAUGUUUGGAGAACAUCGAAAGACUUCUCUCUCUUCUCUAAGUUGAACAAAAUUAACUCCAGCACCUUCUCCUUUGCAAAAGUGCCAACAUCGCCAAGUGUACACCACCAAGUGCAAGUGUGUUAGCAUUUUCACAAAUAUUUUCCCGAAGGAGUUAGCCUCUCAACUUGCCACGCCACUCGAUCCUAACACGUAUGCAAAGUUAGAUCACUCAAGUGGCACUAGAUGACCGAUAUGCAAACAAGUUUGCCCCUCUUGAUAGUACGGCCAUCUAUCCUAAAUCCGGUCAUAAACUUCUCUACACACCUAUGACCGGUGAAAUGGAAAUGCCAUAGGUUAUACCUUUGCCUUGCGCUUUCCAUUCCAUCUCCUGUAAUGUUGAUGCAACACAUGCACCAAUCAAUCACCAAAUGAUAUGAUCCACUUCAUAUCUUCACGUGACAAUAUUGGUUCAUCGAUCUUGACCUCACUUUCUCUUCACCGUUGCCUCGGUCCAUUGGCGCCAAGUCUUGCUCAAGCUUCACCGUCACACGCGGUCCCUCAUUUCAAAGCCUCUGACUUGCUCUUCACUCUUGCAACCGGUCCAUCAAGCCAAUCCUCAUCUUGAUCUUCUCCACCUUGGUCACAUGACUCCAUGUCAUGUCUCAUAUGCAAUGAGAUCCUUCAUCACAUCAUCACCUGUGGACUAAUCUCCUAUGUAUCUCAUAUAAACACUAUUAGUCCACCUAAGUUGUCACUCAAUUACCAAAACCAAACAAGGACCUUUCAAUCUCCCCCUUUUUGGUAAUUGAUGACAACUCUACAAAUAUAUGGAAAUUAAGCUUUUUCAAGCUAGUACUUCACACAAGUGUAAAUUGCUAACUUAUUUUGGAUUUUAUGCUACUUAUCCAAUAUUUAAGCUCUAUGUCAAAAUUUAGAUAAGCACCAUAAAACCCUACUAAGUGCUAAGGUGUAUAGAAGAAACCUUUGUAGCUCGAUACCAAAUUUGAUAUCAUUUGAAGCAUUCAAUGUACACCAUCCUUAGCACCAAGCGUAGCUAGACAACAAAAACACUAGAAACCCCGUGAGAUCAACAUUAUAAGCAAGGUCUAGUCUUUACUUGAAGAACACAAGUCUAGCUACCAACCUAUGCAUGCUAGUUAUCAUAUCAUCAAUCAAGUUUUAUAACUAGCAUACACCACACAAGCAUGCAUAUUGAAUUUAAAAACUUAUGCAAUGCAAGCAAACACAUGAGUAUGCACAUAUCAAAUGCAAACAAUCAAGGUUCAUGAGCUUGCUCCCCCUACUUGUGUGCUUUUCUUUUGUCCAAGAAUUUUGAUCCAUCAUUUUUUUUAAUAUUGCUCCCUUGUCCGUGUCCAUCUUUGAUCUCUUCCCCUUGAAACAUAUCUUUUGUUGUCCAACUUAUCCCAUGAUCAUAUCUUUGUUCCAACUUCUCCCUCUUUGUCAUCAAUUUCCAUAAAAAGUAUGUGAUACCAAUUAAAUCACUUGAUACCAAUCAAAAAAGUGUGAAUCUCAUUGUGACAAAGGAUUUGUUGAUGCAAAACUGAUCUGCAAACACAAAGGGCUAAUACCCGAUUCAAACGUUAAGGCGUGCCAGCCGAUUUGACCUUACUAUCGGCAAAGGUGAUAACUCGAAUACUUUAGUCCUGACAACAGCGAUGCGCCCGGAUGUCACGGCUAAGAGGUACUCACGCGGAACUCGAGAACACGCCGAGCUUAAGUCAACGAAUUCCUAAGAACUCGUAAUAAAAGGGGUAAAGUAUGACGAAGUCGUCGAAAAAGUAGAUGCUGGAAUAUGAGUAAAAACGUGUGUUUGAUUGAUUGAUAGACGUCUCAUUACAAGGCCUUAGGGUCUACAUUUAUACCCUGCUCAAAGAGCUACAACCAGACACGAUUAGAAUUCGAAUUCCAAAUUACACAGAAUCCGUAUACAAAACGAUUUAAAUAACUAAGGAAAACAUAAAGCUAUCCCUCGUGACAAGCUGGAACUCCUCCACAAACCGAUCGGCAGCUUCCGGACUUUCCCUCCGUAUCAUCGGCAGAUUCCCUUGUCAUAGUCAUCGGCAGACUUCCUUGUCAUAGCCAUCGGCACAGACACAUCACCACCUAUAGACUUAGUCAUGCUCAACCCCUCCUUCAUCGGCAACCAUCCUCAUCGACAGCUCAUCCUGUAGACAAAACACCGCCGUCUCACUCUAUCGGCCUGCACUCUACCAAACAUGGACACGUGCCCAAAAACGGUGUCAACACAUGCCCCCCAAUUUCGGAGUAUGAAAUCAUUAAUGCUCCGAAAUUCUCUGCAGUAAUGAUGCCUUUUCGCGCAAUUAAUACUCCUAAUCUGGUAACCCACAACCUCAAUCUGAACAACUCUGAUCCUAUUCUUUUGCAGAUCCCUCGAAAUCCUCAACUUCCUAAGCGGGCAUUCCCUUUUUAGCCGCACAUCGGCAAUAUUACCAUUACAAAGAUUUGCCGAUGGACUGAUCAGAACGUUCGUACAAAUGGCUAUCUCCACUUUAUUCACCCAUCGGCAAUAUGACCGUUACAGGACGCUGCCGGUCAGGAGAUCCCGCACAGUAAAAUAUCUCUGGAUAAUAAUCGCUUCCUGUCAAAUCACCUGCACAAUCCCUUGAUUACCGUGCGAACAGUUACCAUAUCUACCUGAGUACCCUCGGAUUUCUUAGAUGCGGCAAAGAGAUAAGUCAGAUUUGCCCUUGCCCGCUUUGUCCUAUAAAUGGUUCCUUCUCGGGUACUCCUUCUCCAUUACAUCGUUCCACAAUCCCAACCUCACCUUUCCAGCGGCAGCGCUAUUCCAAAAGCUCCAAGACCUUCGAUGAAGCCCCUUCUUCACUAACUCCGAAGUCCUCGUUCGUCUCCCUCGUGGCAAGAUGGCUGUCAACUUCAUCAUUCCUGAGGUCAGUUCUUCGCGCCAUCCUUGGUACUUUUCUCGCACCCCUGUUCAUCCGCAAUCUUACUGAGUAUUUUUCUUUCUCUUUCUUUGUAUUAUUUUUUUUUCUACCUCCAAAACCAUUAGGAGUUGCCUAACAAAAUUAUCAUCCCCACCGAUCAACCACACCUUCAAUGCCUCGGCCCGCUAGGGGAUCCAGAUCCAACCGAUCUCAUUAACGCAGAAACCAACAGGAUCCCUUUUAGAGCUGAAAACUUUUCUUUAGAUCUGUGGAAAGACACCUUCCGUUCUUGGCCCAGCCCUACUGUGGGGUGGAAAGACUGGUUCUUGAGGGUCAGCAACUCCAAUGAAGUCCAGUGGGGUGAAAGAAAACUAGAUCAAUGCAUUAGGUUGUCCAUUGCCGAUAUGCACAGGAAUGAGUCACUGUUGAUAGCUACAUCCUACUUUUGGUCAGACACCCUCAAUGCUUUUGUCUUUGGCCACGACCCUGCUUCCCCUACUCUUGCCGAUGUAGUCAUGCUCACCGGUCUAGAUGUAUCUUCUGCCGAUAGCACCCACUUUUUUGACACCGCUCCUAGUGCCAAAGUGGAAACUCGCUCCAUCGGCGGCUGGUCGGGGUACAUUCAGAAGUACAGUGGGACGAGGCCCGUCAACAUAAAGGAACAAACCACCUUUCUGAAUAUGUGGCUGGACAAAUUCGUAUUCUGUGGUCGAUCGGCAGGACCGACCUCCGUCUAUCUAUCGGCAGAAGAGAGACUGGCUAAUGGUGGCCGAUUCCCUCUCGGCCGAUACUUGCUUGGCGCUGCCUACCAUCUUCUCCAUCAGGUAGCCAAGAAACUCCUGCUCGGCCAGUCCAUCGGCAACUUGGGAGGCCCCUGGUGGUUUAUCAACAUGUGGCUUAAUCUGCAUCUGCACAAGCGCCUCAACUUUAACUUGUUCACACAGCGUUUCCCAAGAGAUAUAGCUGAAAAUCAUGUGUUGGGUGAAGAAGAAUCGGCAACACGCGCUCCUUUAAACUUCGGCGAAGCCGUCAUAGUUCUGCCUGGUUCAGGGGGUAAUCCAGAUCAGGUCAGCCGAUUCUUCCAGACUUUGUAUGAGGGUUUGGCCAGAGAUGAAUGAGCAUGGUUGGCCUAUGAUGACCCAGACAGUAUGCUUCCCCUAGUUUUUAUCCCAUUUGAUGAAGCUCUUGACAGGGAUAAUGAAGUGAUGAUGGCAAUUGUGACUCCUAGAGUCAUACCAGUGAAUUUCUUUGGUAGUGGAAAAACCUCCCCCCAGACUUAUGAAUUUUACAACCCAUCGGCAUUAGCUCGUCAAUUAGCUUUCGGCCAGUUGCCGAUUGCACUCUGUUAUGCCGAUGUGAUAAAACCCAGGGAACCCAUCACCAACUUUCUUGAAUGGAUUCGAGUAGCCCAACUACCACCGAGUGCCGAUACAGAUGUAGAUUUGUCAGAGUGGGUUCCAGCCGCCUUCAUUACUCAGGCGUACAAGCUAUGGUGGACAGAAUGGAAGGAGCAUCUAUUCUGCAAAUCAGCCCUUUCAUACCGUGGCAUGAUAGACCCCGAGUACAAAGUCCCCGAUGAUGUUGUGUUGACACCGUUUUUAGGCACGUGUCUAGGAUGGCAGGAUAAGAUGACAGUAUGUGGUUUACGGGAUGAGUUGCCGAUGAGGAUGGUUGCCGAUAAAGGAGAGGUUGGACGUGACUAAGUUUACAGGUGAUAAUGUGUCUGUGCCGAUGACUAUGAUGAGGAGGUCUGCCGAUGACCAUGGCGAAAGAGUCUGCCGAUGAUACAGAUGGGGAGUCUAGAAGCUGCUGAUCGGGUUGUGGAAGAGUUUCAGUUUGUCACGAGGGAUAACUGAGUUAUUUCCUUAUUUGUUUAAAUCGUUUUGUAUGCGGAUUCCAUGUAAUUUGGAAUUCGAAUUCUGGUCGUGUUUAGUUAUAGCUCUUUGAGCAGGGUAUUAAUAUGGACCCUAGGGCUUUGUAAUGAGACCCUAGGGCUUUGUAAUGAGACAUCUAUCAAUCAAGUAAACACACGUUUUUACUCAUAUUCCAGCAUCUACUUUUCGACGACUUCGUCAUACUUUUUUCCUUUUAUUACGAGUUCUUAGGAAUUCGUCGACUUAAGCUCGGCGUGUUCUCAAGUUCCGCAUGAGUACCUCUUAGCCGUGACAUCCGGGCGCAUCGCUGUUGUCAGGACUAAAGUAUUCGAGUUAUCACCUUUGCCGAUAGUAAGGUCAAAUCGGCUGGCACGCCUUAACGUUUGAAUUGGGUAUUAGCCCUUUGUGUUUGCAGAUUAAUUUUGCACCAACACAUCUUUUGGCACGCCCAGUGGGACGAGAUUCAAGAUCAAGAUCAACAUGUCGAUCUCUGACCUCGAUCAGGAGAACGUCAUCCCCGUGACGGAGGCCAAUCUCAAGGACGAGCAGAAGCAGGCUAUUGCCCAAGCCAUGGAAGAGUUCAAGCUGCAAUGCCUGAGGUCUUUCAGCAUAAGCAGGAGCGGCGAGGUGAUUCAGAAAGAUGCACUGCCGGCACCACGGCAGGUCACCUUCGAAGCCAAUCCUGGCAAGCUUCAAGAUAUGGUUGACAGUGCUAUCAACCGAGCUUUGAUCAACCAAGCCGGUGUCCUGUCUAAUACGGUUUUCAAUGCCGUGGCAAGAACUUUCAAGGAAGGACAAAUCCCACCAGAUUAUGUGGGCCCCUCUCAUCAUCAGCCAACAGCACCAGAGGUCACGGCUCCAUCGGCUGCUUUGACGGCUGCAAGUGCACAAUCUGCCGUCCCUCCAAGUACAUCGGGAGCUACUGGUGCACUAUCUGUGCCGAUGACAACCAACCCACAAACUUCAAGUGGGCAGAAUAAACUGACAACAGACAUGUUGGCAUCGGCAAUGUCAGGGUUGACUCUUCCUCCUAACUGGUGGGGUUAUGGUAUACCUCCAGAAUUGACGCCAGGAACAUCACAGAUAACCGACAUGAGGGGCAAGACUCCUAUGACAUCAGCGCUUCCCAAUGUGCCGUUGAACCAGAGUCCCCGGUAUACAACAACUACUACUGCAAGGCCUCACACUGGGAAUCCUCAAGAUUCAAUGUUCCAGGUGCCUAAUGCAUCGGUAGACUCAAUGCUGAUGCAACAGAGGUCUAUGGCCCAGUCAGGAUAUGUCAAUUCAAUGAUGGUACCCACUUACCAAUCAUCGGCAGCGCCUAUGCCGAUGAACGCUAAUAAUGGAUGGCUUGGACAGCAAGUCUUUCCACAAUCACCCCAACAAAGUUACCAGGUUACGGGGUUCCAGCAAGGACAGAUCUAUCCCGGAUUCCAAAGUCAGGGGAUCUCCAGCCAGCCAAUGAAUAUUGGACAGCAAGUCGGUGGACAGCAGUUUGGCGGUCCGCAGAUGGGAGGACAGAUGAUCAAUCCGAUGCUCCGUGCAGAUCACGUCGCGAACAGACACGUGGAGGUUCGCCACCAAGUGCCGGACCCGCAGCCGCCUCAUCGGCAGGAUGCCGAUGCAUAUUGGGCCGAUAAAAUCGCUGAAGUAAUGAGGGAACAAUUUGGGAUAAAACCCAAAGUCAACACUUAUUCUUAUCGGACACCGUAUCCUCCUGCAUAUGAUUUGAUCCCACUCCCACAUCGGUACAAGGUACCGGAUUUUACCAAAUUUUCCGGGCAGGACGACACGUCAACCAUGGAGCACGUCAACAGGUUCAUCAUUCAAUGCGGAGAAGCUGGUAACAGAGACGAAUUGAGGGUUCGUCUAUUUUCAUCAUCAUUAUCUGGAUCGGCCUUUACUUGGUUUAUAUCAUUACCUCCCAACUCAGUGAUUACUUGGGCCGAUCUGGAGAAACAAUUCCACAAAUACUUCUUCUCCGGGGUUCAUGAGAAGAAGAUCACCGACUUGGUCAAGUUGAGACAGCGCAAUGAUGAAUCAGUUGAAGGUUUCGUGCAGAGGAUACGGGAAGUUAAGAAUAAAUGCUACAGUCUGGUUCUAGAUGAUCGGCAGCUAGCCGAUUUGGCUUUCUAGGGUUUAUUGCCACACAUCAGGGAUAAGUAUGCUUCUCAGGAGUUUGAAAGCUUAAGUCAUUUGGUGCAGAGGAUUUCUGAUCAAGACAUCAAGCCUUUCGAGCCCAAAAGAGCAUGGAACAAGAAAGUAUCGUUUGUUGAUGAAGCAACGAGCUCCGAUUCUGAUGAGGAACCAGUCAUCGGCUUGGCAGAGUGGGUCAAAAACAAGAAACCGAUGUCUUGUCCUUUUGGGCAGAAAGAACCAGAAAAGUUCGCUUUCGACACCGCUAAGGCCGAUAAGAUAUUUGAUUUUCUACUCCAGGAAGGUCAGAUCAAGCUGUCUCCUAAUCACGUGAUCCCAUCAACUGAGGAGUUGAAGAGGAUGAGAUAUUGCAAGUGGCAUAAUGCAACUUCUCAUGACACUAAUGAAUGCAAAGUGUUCAGACAACAGCUGCAAUCGGCAAUAGAGUCCGGGAGGAUCAAGUUUGACAGUUCCAAGACCCAGAAGCCGAUGAAGAUAGACCAACAUCCUUUCCCGAAAACAUGUUGGAUGCCAAGGGGAAGGCCAAGGUCUUAACAUAGGAAACAGCCGAGAAAAGUGCAUUGGUAGAUCCUCAGCAUCAAGUUACUACUGCCGAUGCAAAAAGUAAGGGCUUAGUCCAGGAAGGAACCAGUUCGGGUAGGCCCCCUCGGUCUGGUAUUGUUAUAACUCAUAGAAGACCUCGAGAGAACUGGCAGCAACGGGAAGAUCGGUAUUGGCGCUAGCAAGAAGAUUAUUGCCAGCAAGAAGAUUACCGACGGGAAGAAGAAAGACGCCGACAGGAGUGGAAUCGACAUAGAUAUCAUUGGAACUGCCCGUUCUUCAUCCAUUGUUGGGAGGAAAAUAUUAAGCUUCCCACUGUUAGAGAUUGUCCUGAGUGCAAUGGUUAUGAUCGGUACGACAGGACUGAUCGGCGUUAUCAUGAUGACAAUCGGCGAUUUAAUGGGCCGAUCAGAGGAAGAGCAUCAGUUCAUGAUCGGCUGGGGGGCAGGCUCACCGUGCACGAUAGGCUUGGAAAUCGUGUCCAAUAUUUUCCCAGAAACCAGGAAGAACUCGAGGAGAUGGCUAAUGCACGAGUUCCCGAUGAGUUCAUAUUUUGCAGGGAUGCUAACACGCAUCGGAUAGAGUCAAGGGAGAAUCGACGCCCAGCAGUAAGGCAGAAGCCACUUCCUCCAUGGUGUCCGGAAGGGUUGACCAAGACACAGAAAAGGAGAUUGCCGCGUGAAAGGCAAGAGGAGCUAAACAAGGGCGAGAACUCUGGAAGUCAGCAGCCAUCAGACACCAAGAGGGAAGGUCCAUCGGCGGGAGUUAACAUGGUUUUUAUGUUGCCGAUGGAGUUUCUUGCACCAUCUAGUGAUGAUGAGUUGGAAUUUUCUGAUCAGAUAGCUCAGCCGGCUCUGGAUCCGAUGACAGCUAUCUUUGAGAAACCUGCCGAUGACGAGAGACAACAUCUUAAGGCUCUAUUCGUCAAAGGGAGGGUUGAUGGGCAGCCAAUGACCAAAAUCCUAGUUGAUGGUGGAGCUGCUAUUAAUAUUAUGCCUUAUGCAGUAUAUCGGAAGCUUGGGAAAGGGGAUCCGGAUUUGACAAAGACCGAUAUGAUGCUCAAAGACUUUGAAGGAAACGUGUCUCCAGUUAAAGGAGCAAUAUGUGUGGAGUUGACCAUCGGCAGCAAAACCUUGCCGACAACUUUCUUCGUGAUCAGUGGAAAGGGUGCUUACAACUUAUUGUUGGGAAGAGAUUGGAUUCAUGCUAAUUGUUGCAUCCCAUCUACAAUGCACCAAUGCUUGGUUCAGUGGAUAGGUGACAAGAUUGAGAUUGUCCCGGGAGAUUCUUCUUAUGUCAUUGCAUCGGCGGAGGCGGAUACCUAUGAGAGGACCAAGUGCAUUUCAGGAGAAGUUUGGGAGAAAGAUUUUCUCAAAGUUGCCGAUUACGAGAUUCCACCGAUCCAAGCAGUCGGUUCUGACGACGGUUUUUAAUGGAUAGAUUCGCCGAUGAUGGAAAAUUAGGCCAGGGAUUGACAUCGGCCGAUGAUUUGGUAGAAGUAGAUAUAGGUAGUGGUGAUAAGCCUAGACCUACUUUUAUUAGUACUAAAUUAAAUCCUGAGUGUAAGCAACAAUUAACCGAUUUAUUAAAGGAAUAUAAAUAUUGCUUUGCUUGGGAUUAUACCGAGAUGCCUGGUUUAGACCGAUCAAUCGUCGAACAUCGGUUACCUAUCAAGUCUGGAUUUCGGCCACAUCAGCAACCAGCUCGUCGAUGUAAUCCUAACAUUCUACCUGAUAUUAAGGCCGAAAUCACCAAACUCAUUGAAGCCAAGUUUAUUCGGCAGUGUCGGUAUGCCGAGUGGAUAUCUAAUGUUGUUCCGGUUUACAAGAAAAACGGGAAGCUUCGGGUGUGCAUUGAUUUCAGGAAUCUCAAUAAAGCUACGCCGAUGGAUGGAUACCCAAUGCCUGUUGCCGAUCUGUUGGUUGAUCCUGCGGCCGGUCAUCGGGUCAUUAGCUUUAUGGACGGCAAUGCAGGAUACAAUCAAAUAUUCAUGGCAGAGGAAGAUAUUCCAAAAACUGCAUUUAGGUGUCCUGGUCAUGUCGGUUUAUUUGAAUGGAUAGUCAUGACCUUUGGGUUGAAGAAUGCUGGUGCUACUUAUCAAAGGGCCAUGAAUUUUAUAUUUCAUGAGUUCAUCGGCAAGCUGGUGGAGAUCUAUAUUGAUGAUGUGGUAGUUAAGUCUGGGGAUUUCUCAAAGCAUCUUGCCGACUUACAAAAGGUAUUAGAGUGCACAAGGAAGCAUGGGUUGAAGAUGAAUCCCAAUAAGUGUGCAUUUGGUGUAUCGGCAGGGCAGUUUCUUGGUUUCAUGGUACAUCAAAGGGGGAUUGAAAUUAGUCGAAGAUCUAUUGAUUGAUGCCAUCAAUAAAAUAGUGGCCCCUACCAACAAGACUGAGCUCCAGUCCUUGAUCGGCAAGGUAAAUUUUAUCAGGAGAUUUAUAUCCAAUCUGUCUGGUAAAAUUCAUGCAUUCAGUCCUCUUCUUAAAUUGAAAGCCGAUCAAGAAUUUGUUUGGGGAAAAGAGCAGCAGUUGGCUUUGAAUGAAAUCAAGAAAUAUCUAGUGAAUCCUCCAGUUCUAGUUCCACCUCAAUAAGGAAAGCCCUUCAGAUUGUAUUUGUCUACCGAUGGGACGAUUAUCGGUUUAGCUUUGGUCCAAGAAUUUGAAGGGAAAGAGAGGGUAAUUUACUACUUGAGUAGGAGGUUGAUUGAUGCUGAAACCAGGUAUUCGGCCAUUGAGAAACUAUGCCUAUGCUUGUAUUUUUCGUGUAUCAGACUAAGGCAUUACCUGCUAUCGGCCGAAUGCACUGUUGUUUGCAAAGAUGAUGUGGUCCGGUACAUGCUAUCUAUGCCGAUUAUGAGUGGCAGGAUCGGUAAAUGGAUUUUAGCGCUGUCAGAGUUCGAUCUGCGUUACGAAUCGGCCAAGGCAGUCAAAGGACAGAUUAUGGCCGAUUUUGUGACUCAGCAUUGCGGUGUAGUGGAGGCCUUGGAAAUUGUGCCCUGGACACUUUUCUUUGAUGGAUCUACAUGUGACCGGGGGGCAGGAAUCGGCAUUGUAUUAGUUUCCCCUAAGGGGAGGAAGUAUGAAUUUUCCUUGCCGAUUGUUGCUACGUCGACAAAUAAUCAGGCUGAGUAUCAGGCUCUGAUCGAGGGAUUGGAGUUGUUAAGAGAAGUUCGUGCUGAUGCUGUUGAAAUUUUUGGGGAUUCCAUGUUGGUUAUAAAUCAAUUGGCCGGGAGCUAUGAAUGCCGAAGUGAAGCUCUCGUAACUCAUUUCGAGAAAAGCAUGCGACUGUUGAAAGAGUUCAAAGAUUUCCGAUUAGAGCAUAUUCCUCGAUUGCAUAAUGAAGAGGCCAAUCGGUUGGCUCAGCAUGCCUCGGGAUAUCAGCCUAUGAUUAAUGCAAUAUCGGCAAUCGGUGCCGAUGAUUGGAGGAAGGAAAUUAUUGAUUAUCUAAAGGAUCCAUCCAAGAAAGUUGAAAGACGAGUUCGAUUUCAAGCAACCAAAUAUGUGCUCCUCGAAGAUGAACUGUACUAUCGAACUAUUGAUGGAAUUCUUCUCCGAUGUUUGGGUGAUGAUGAAGCUAGGAGUUUGAUGGGAGAAAUCCAUGAAGGGGUAUGUGGAGCACAUCAGUCGGCUUUCAAAAUGAAAUGGAUGAUUAGAAGGAAUGGAUAUUUUUGGCCGACUAUACUUGAGGAUUGCUUUAAGUAUUUCAAGGGAUGUCAAGGUUGUCAAAAGUUUGGUAACAUUCAAAGAGCACCCGCAUCGGCUAUGAAUCCUAUUAUCAGGCCUUGGCCGUUUCGGGGUUGGGCUAUCGAUCUGAUCGGCCAGAUUUAUCCACCAUCUAGUAAGGGGCAUAAAUUUAUUUUGGUUGCCACUGAUUAUUUCACUAAAUGGGUUGAAGCUAUUCCUUUGAAGAAGGUCACCUCGGCCAAUAUGAUUGAUUUUGUGAAGGAACACAUUAUUUACCGAUUUGGGAUUCCUCAGACAAUUACUACCGAUCAGGGCACUAUGUUCACAUCGGGGGAGUUUGAUGAAUUCGCAAUCGGUAUGGGGAUUAAAGUAUUGAAUUCUUCUCCUUAUUAUGCUCAAGCCAAUGGGCAGGCCGAAGCAUCUAACAAAGGGAUUAUCAAGCUUAUUAAACGAAAGAUUGAAGAAAAUCCUAAGCGGUGGCAUACAUUGUUAAAUGAAGCACUGUGGUCUUAUCGAAUGGCUUGUCAUGGAUCAACCUAGGUGUCACCCUAUCAAUUGGUGUAUGGACAUGAUGCAGUGUUGCCCUGGGAGAUUAAGGCCGGAUCCAGGCGAUUAUCUUUUCAAGAUUGGUUAACCGCCGAUAAUUAUGCUACUUUGAUGACCGAUGAGUUGGAUGAUCUAGCAGGGCAUCGGUUAAAAGCUGUAAUGAGUAUAGAAGAAAAUAAGAAGAGAGUUGCUAGAUGGUAUGAUAAGAAAGUGAAGGCUAAGGAGUUUGUCGAUGGGGAUUUGGUAUGGAAAUUGGUUUUGCCAGUCGGGACUAAAAGUGCGAAGUUUGGAAAGUGGUCUCCUAAUUGGGAAGGUCCUUAUCGGAUAAGUCGAUCGGCUCCUGGUAAUGCCUAUAUUCUAGAAACUCUCGAAGGAGUUGAAUUUCCUAGAGCAUUAAAUGGCAAAUAUUUAAAGAAGUACUACCCCAGCAUAUGGGUCGAUGCAUAAAAGUUUAAAUGCCGAUAACACUCCUAUCGGCUGGAUUCAAAUGUUUUGGGGCUUAGUGUUUCAAAAGAUGCCGAUAACAGUCCUAUCGGCUAGACUAAAAGCUGAGGAAUCAGGAAAGCACAGAUAUGAUGCCGAUGAAAACUUUAUGUGUUAAGCAGCGCCUGGAUUGCCGAUAUAGCACGUAGCCGGAUUUGGUUGGCUGCUUCUAUCUCCUUAAUGUCAUCAUCGGCAGAACCCUCUAUCGGCUUUAGUUUCUUCUUCAGUUGAAGUGCCUUGCGACCAUGAACGUUUCGCUCGUGCUCAAGAAGCUUGAUGGCCUCUGGCUGUUGGCUCUCUUCCUGUUGAGCUUGGGAUAAGGCGUCCUCCACUUCCUUAAGUUCUGCCAACAAGGAUUCUCUUCUUGCCGAUAGAUCGGAUAUUUUCUGCUUCAGCGCGUCUCCUGAAGAUCUCAGGAUGCCGAUGUUCUUGUGCUUCUCAUCGGUCAAAAGCUUCUCUUUCCUCAUUUCGUCGGAGAGUUGAGUCUGAGCAGCUCUAUCGGCAAGACGCCGAGAAGCUCUCUGGUACUGCAGCUGGCGACUCUCCAAAUGAGCGGCUUGGAAAAGGGUUUCUUCGACAUCGGCUGGGAUUUGGCCUCUGAGAGUUCUGAACAGGGUCUUGGUAGGGUCGGAGUCGUCAACCAACUGCGCUGUGUCCUGGUGAAGGAGAGCUGACAAUUCAUCCAGUCUGGUCCUGAUCUCUGCCGAUGUAAUGCCGAUUGUCUGAGAAGAGCUUGCCUCUUCGCCUUCUUCUUCAGAGAGAUCGAUGGUGAAGGAAAACAGGCUGUCGGGAGAAUCUUGUUCCUGGGGGGAGAGCAAAGUUAGUUCAUACUCGGAAAAUCGGCAAAUUAUGCUGGUAGAGGUUGGGUGGCUUACUUGUUUUAAGGCUAUUUCCUGCCUCUGUCUGAAAGAUGCCGAUGGAGAUGCAGGAUGAUCGGCUACGGUUGCCGAUGGGACGAUAUCGACUGAAAAAGACAGGAAGGGUUAUGAGACUAAAUGAGAAUAAGUUCAUCGGCAACGGUAUUGUUAAAGUAUGUUACCUGGAGGAGGAACAACGGUUGUCUGAAUCGGGAGAACCGCCGAUGAUAUAAUUGGACCCACCGGACCAGUUGUUUGUUCACCCACAUCAGCUGAUGUACCUUCUGUUCGAGGCUCUUCCUGCUGGGGUUCUUCCAUCUGUGGUGCUUCCUGCAUUGGUUGGGGAGAUGGUGCUUGCUGUGUCUGGACUUCUGGAGAAGAAGGAGAAAACUCCACUGGGAUUGGAGAUACCGGAGGAGGAGGGGGAGUUGCCACUUUUUGGCGUUUUGUUUCGGCCCUGGUGCUCUUGACACCCUUCCUCUUUGGCUGGCUGGACUGGGGGGCAUCGGCACCUUGACGUGUGACCUUUGCCGAUGCACUGGUUUGCUGCAAUAACGAACAAGGGUUUAUAAGUAUAAAUAAGGCCAAUAUAAAGAUAGUCAGCGUAAAAGAAAGAGAUUUGACAAAUUGCCUUGAAAGCCCGCGCCAGAGUGGGAGCAGCUACCGUUGGUGAUGUCUGGGUUCUCCUGGUGGUGACUUUCCUGAGGCGCACACCCCGAUGCACGAUGGAAGCCAGAGUGGGAGCAUUGUGGCCGGUUGAGGAAAUCGGGCCUGAUGGAAACAAGUCGAUCGGCUUGCCACUCCUGCUAACCGAUGGGGGGAUGUCGUCAACCUGCAAAAGAAAUACAAGGGUGAGCUACCGAUGGAAAUAAUGUUGAGAAAAUGAAACAUCGGUUGGAAAUACUUACAGUGUCAUCGGGAAUUUCGUAUUCGGAGUCGAUCAUGCCGCGGUAUGAAAGGGCCAAUCUGCAGAAUAGAUGCUCUUUCCAUUCUGCCCACCAUAACUUGUAUGCCUGAGUGAUAAAAGCAGCCGGAACCCAUUCUGACAGAUCUACAUCUGUAUCGGUGUUUGGUGGUAGUUGGGCUACUCGACUCCACUCAAGAAAGUUGUUGAUAGUUUCUCUGGGUUUUAUCACAUCGGCAUAAGGAAGUGCGAUUGGCAACUGGCCGAAAGCUAACUGGCGAGCUAAUGCCGAUGGAUUGUAAAAUUCAUAAGUCUGGGGAGAAGUUUUUGUGCUACCGAAGAAAUUCACUGGAAUGGCUCUGGGAGUCACAAUUGCCAUCAUCGCCUCAUUGUCCCUGUCGAGAGCUUCAUCAAAUGGAUUGAAGGUCAGAGGGAGCAUGCUAUCUGGGUCAUCAUAAGCCAACCAUGGUCGUUCAUCUCUGGCCAAACCCUCAUACAGAGUCUGGAAGAAUCGGCCGAUCUGAUCCGGAUUACUCCCUGAACCAGGUAGAACUAUGACAGCUUCGCCAAAGUUCAAGGGGGCACGCGUUGCCGAUUCCUCUUCACCCAACACAUGAUUUUCGGCUAUAUCUCUUGGGAAGUGCUGUGAGAACAAGUUGAAAUCAAGGCGCUUAUGCAGGUGCAGAUUGAGCCACAUAUUAAUAAACCACCAGGGGCCUCCCAAGUUGCCGAUGGACUGGCCAAGCAGGAGUUUCUGGGCUACCUGAUGGAGAAGAUGGUAAACAGCGCCAAGCAAGUAUCGGCCGAGAGGAAAUUGGCCACCGUUAGCCAGUCUCUCUGCUGCCGAUAGAUAGACGGAAGUCGGUCCUGCCGAUCGACCACAGAAUACAAACUUGUCCAGCCACAUGUUCAGAAAGGUGGUUUGCUCCUUUAUGGUGACAGGCCCUCUCCCGUGGUACUUCUGAAUGUACCCUGACCAACCGCCGAUAGCGCGAGUCUCCACUUUGGCACUGGGGGCAGUAUCAAAAAAGUGGGUGCUAUCGGCAGAAGAUAUAUCUAGACCAGUGAGCAUGGCUACAUCGGCAAGGGUAGGAGAAGCAGGGCCGUGGCCAAAAACAAAAGCAUUGAGGGUGUCUGACCAAAAGUAGGACGCAGCUAUCAGGAGUGACUCGUUCCUGUGCAUAUCGGCAAUAGAUAGCCUAAUGCAUUGGGCUAGCUUCCUUUCACCCCACUGGACUUCAUAAGAAUUGCUGACCCUCAAGAACCAGUCUUUCCACCCUACGGUAGGGGUGGGGAUGACAAUUUUAUUGGACAACUCCUAGUGAUUUUGGGGGAAUAAAAAAUACAAAGAAAAAGUAAAAGGAAAAUAUUCAGUAAGAUGAAUCGCAGAUGAACAGGAAUACGAAAAAAGAAAAAAAAAUACAGAAGAUGAAGUGGAGAUCUGACCUCAGGGACGACGAAGCCAAUGGCCAUCUUGUCGUGAAGAGGACGUUGGAGGGCACCGGAGUUUAUGAAGAGGAGUGCUUGUCGGAGGUCUCGAAGGUUGUGAAUGGCGCCGCCGCUGGAAAAGUAAAAGUGGGGAUGGUGAAAUGAUGUGAUGGAGAAGGAGUACCCGAGAAGGAACUAUUUAUAGGAUAAAACGGGCAAGGGCAAAUCUGACUUAUCUCUUUGCCGCAUCCGAGAGACCCGGGGAUGCUCAGGUAGAUAUGGUAACUGUUCGCACGGUAAUCAAGGGAUUGUGCAGGUGAUUUGACGGGGAGCGGUCAUUACUUGGAGAUAUUUUACUGUACAGGAUCUUCUGGUCGGUCCAUCGGCAGCAUACUGUAACGGUCAUAUUGCCGAUGGGCGGAUAAAGUAAAAGGUAGCCAGUUAUACGAACGUCCUGAUUAGUCCAUCGGUAGAUCUUCGUAACGGUAAUAUUGCCGAUGUGCGGAUGAGAAGGAAGUGCCCGUUCAGGAAGUUGAGGAUUUCGAGGAAUUUGCAGGAGAAUAGGAUCGGAGUUGUUUGGAUUGAGGUUGUCGGUUACGAGAUUAGGAGCAUUAAUUGAGGGAAAAGGCAUCAUUACUGCAGAAAAUUUCGGAGCAUUAAUAGUUUCAUACUCCGAAAUUGGGGGGCAUGUGUUGACACCGUUUUUAGGCACGUGUCUAGGAUGGCAGGAUAAGAUGACAGUAUGUGGUUUACGGGAUGAGUUGCCGAUGAGGAUGGUUGCCGAUAAAGGAGAGGUUGGACGUGACUAAGUUUACAGGUGAUAAUGUGUCUGUGCCGAUGACUAUGAUGAGGAGGUCUGCCGAUGACCAUGGCGAAAGAGUCUGCCGAUGAUACAGAGGGGGAGUCUGGAAGCUGCUGAUCGGGUUGUGGAAGAGUUUCAGUUUGUCACGAGGGAUAACUGAGUUAUUUCCUUAUUUGUUUAAAUCGUUUUGUAUGCGGAUUCCAUGUAAUUUGGAAUUCGAAUUCUGGUCGUGUUUAGUUAUAGCUCUUUAAGCAGGGUAUAAAUAUGGACCCUAGGGCUUUGUAAUGAGACAUCUAUCAAUCAAUCAAACACACGUUUUUACUCAUAUUCCAGCAUCUACUUUUCGACGACUUCGUCAUACUUUUUUCCUUUUAUUACGAGUUCUUAGGAAUUCGUCGACUUAAGCUCGGCGUGUUCUCAAGUUCCGCGUGAGUACCUCUUAGCCGUGACAUCCGGGCGCAUCGCUAUUGUCAGGACUAAAGUAUUCGAGUUAUCACCUUUGCCGAUAGUAAGGUCAAAUUGGCUGGCACGCCUUAACGUUUGAAUUGGGUAUUAGCCCUUUGUGUAUGCAGAUUAAUUUUGCACCAACAUGUUGUAAGUAUUUCAAACCGAUGUUCCAAUUUUUUUUUUAAAUCUUAUUUCCAUCGGUAACCCACUUUUGUAUCCUUUUGUAGGUUGACAACACCACCUCAUCGGUUAGCAGAAGUGGUAAGCCGAUUGACCUGUUUCCACCAGGCCCAAUCUCUUCAAUCGGCCACAAUGCUCCCACUCUGGCUACCAUUGUGCAUCGAGGUGUGCGCCUCAAGAAAGUCACCACCAGGAGAACCCAGACACCACCAACGGUAGCAGCUUCCACUCUGGCACAGGCUUUCAAGGCAAUUGUUGAACCUUUUUUAUUUAUACUGAUUACCUUUACAUCGGCUACAUUUGUGUUCAUAAAUUCCUUUUUGUUGCUGCAGCAAACCAGUGCAUCGGCAAAAGCCAAAAGCCAAGGUGCCGAUGCCCCCCAGUCCAGCCAGCCAAAGAGGAAGGGCGCCAAGGGUACCAGGGCCGGAACAAAGCGCCAGAAAGUGGCAACUCCUCCUCCUCCUCCUCCUCCGGCAUCUCCUAUUCCGGUGGAAUCUUCUCCUUCCCCUCCAGAUGUAGAGAUCCAGCAAGCACCAUCUCCCCCACAUCCACAGGAAGCACCAGAAGUAGACGAACCCCAGCAGGAAGAACCCCAAGCAGAAGGUACAUCAGCUGACGUAGGUGAGCAAACAACUGGCCCGGCAGGUUCAAUCACGUCAUCGGCAGUUCCCCCAAUUCAGACAAGCAUCGUCCCUCCUCAGGGUAACAUAUUUUUAUAAUAUUGCCACCGAUGAACUUAUUCUCAUUCAGCCUCAUAACUCUUUCUGUCCCCUUUCAGUCAAUGUCGUUCCAUCGGCAACCCUAGCCGAUCAACGUAGGGCUCCACCAGCAUCUUCCAGUCAAAGGCAAGAAAUAGCCUUGAAGCAAGUAAGUCACCCAAUCUUCAUCAGUAUUAUUUGCCGAUUCUUCGAGUAUGAACUAACUUACUUUGUUUUCCUUCCCAGGAACAAGAUUCUCCCGACAGCCUAUUCUCCUUCGCCAUCGACAUCUCUGAAGAAGAAGGUGAAGAAGCAAGUUCUUCCAAGACAGUUGGCAUCACAUUGGCAGAGAUCAGGGCCAAGCUGGAAGAACUAUCGGCCCUCCUUCAUCAGGACACAGCACAACUAGUCGACGACUCCGACCCAGCCAAGGUUCUGUUCAGGACUCUCAGAGGCCAGAUCCCAGCCGAUGUCGAAGAAAUCCUCUUCCAAGCCGCACAUUUGGAGAGUCGUCAGCUGCAGUACCAGAGGGCUUCUCGGCGCCUUGCCGAUAGAGCUGCUCAGACUCAGCUCUCUGAAGAGAUGAGGAAAGAGAAGCUCCUGACCGAUGAGAAGCACAAGAACAUCGGCAUUUUGAGAUCUUCAGGAGACAUACUGAAGCAGAAGAUAUCUGACCUAUCGGCAAAAAGGGAAUCCCUAUUGGCAGAACUCAAACAAGUGGAGGACGCUUUAUCCCAAGCCCAAUAGGAAGAGAGCCAACUGCCAGAGACCAUCAAGCUCCUUGAGCAAGAGCGAAACGUUCAUGGUCGCAAGGCACUACAAUUGAAGAAGAAGCUAAAGCCGAUAGAAGGUUCCGCCGAUGACGAUAUCAAAGAGAUAGAAGCAGCCAACCAAAUCCGGCUACGCGCCAUAUCGGCGAUCCAGGCACUGCUGGACACAUGAAGCUCUCAUCGGCGACAUACCUCUCUUUUCCUGCUCUUUCAACUUUUAGUCUAGCCGAUAGGACUGUUAUUGGCAUCUUUUGAAACAUUAAUUCCUGCCCCAAACAUUUAAAUCCAGCAGAUAGGAGUGUUAUCGGCACUUAAACUUUUAUGCAUCGACCCAUAUGCUGGGGUAGUACUUCUUUAAAUAUUUUCCAUUUAAUGCUCUGGGAAAUUCAACUCCUUCGAGAGUUUCUAGAAUAUAGGCAUUACCAGGAGCCGAUCGACUUAUCCGAUAAGGACCUUCCCAAUUAGGAGACCACUUUCCAAACUUCGAACUUUUAGUUCCGAUCGGUAAAAUUAAUUUCCAUACCAAGUCCCUAUCGGCAAACUCCUUAGCCUUUACUUUCUUGUCAUACCAUCUAGCAACUCUCUUCUUAUUUUCUUCUAUACUCAUUAAAGCCUUUAACCGAUGUCCUGCUAGAUCAUCUAACUCAUCGGUCAUCAAAGUGGUAUAAUCAUCGGCAGCCAAUUGAUCUUGAAAAGAUAAUCGCCUAGAUCCAACCUUAAUUUCCCAAGGUAACACUGCAUCAUGUCCAUACACCAAUUGAUAGGGUGACACCUUGGUUGAUCCAUGACAAGCCAUCCGAUAGGACCACAACGCCUCAUUUAAUAAUGUAUGCCACCGCUUAGGAUUUUCUUCAAUCUUUCGUUUGAUAAGCUUGAUAAUUCCUUUGUUAGACGCCUCAGCCUGCCCAUUGGCUUGAGCAUAAUAAGGAGAAGAAUUCAACACUUUAAUCCGCAUACCGAUUGCAAAUUCAUCAAACUCCCCCGAUGUAAACAUAGUGCCCUGAUCGGUAGUAAUUGUUUGAGGAAUCCCAAAUCGGUAAAUGAUAUGCUCCUUCACAAAAUCAAUCAUAUUGGCCGAUGUGACUUUCUUCAAAGGAAUAGCUUCGACCCACUUAGUGAAAUAAUCAGUGGCAACUAGAAUAAACUUAUGCCCUUUGCUAGAUGGUGGAUAAAUCUGGCCGAUCAGAUCAAUAGCCCAUCCUCGGAACGGCCAAGGCUUUAUGACAGGAUUCAUAGCCGAUGCAGGUGCCCUUUGAAUAUUACCAAACUUCUGACACCCUUGACACCCUUUGAAAUACUUAAAGCAAUCCUCAAGUAUAGUCGGCCAAUAAUAUCCAUUCCUCCUAAUCAUCCACUUCAUCUUAAAAGCCGACUGAUGUGCUCCACACACCCCUUCAUGAAUUUCUCCCAUCAAACUCCUAGCCUCAUCAUCACCUAAACAUCGGAGAAGAAUUCCAUCAAUAGUUCGAUAGUAUAAUUCAUCUUCGAGGAGCACAUACUUGGUCGCUUGAAAUCAAACUUGUCUUUCAACUUUCUUAGAUGGAUCUUUCAAAUAAUCAAUAAUUUCUUUCCUCCAAUCAUCGGCAUCGAUUGCCGAUACUGUAUUAAUCAUAGGCUGAUACCCUGAGGCAUGCUGAGCUAACCGAUUGGCCUCUUCAUUAUGCAAUCGGGGAACAUGCUCUAAACGGAAAUCUUUGAAUUCCUUUAACAGUUGCAUGCUCUUCUCGUAAUAAGUUACAAGAACUUCACUUCGGCAUUCAUAGCUCCCGGCCAACUGAUUUAUAACCAACAUAGAAUCCCCGAAGACUUCGACAGCGUCAGCAUGAACUUCCCUUAACAAUUCCAAUCCUUUUAUCAAAGCCUGAUACUCAGCCUGAUUGUUUGUUGACGUAGCAACUAUCGGCAAGGAAAAUUCAUACUUCCUCCCCUUAGGGGAAACUAAUACUAUGCCGAUUCCUGCCCCCCGGUCACAUGUAGAUCCAUCAAAGAAAAGCGUCCAGGGCAUAAUUUCCAAAGCCUCCACUACACCGCAAUGUUGAGUCACAAAAUCGGCCAUAAUCUGCCCUUUAACUGCCUUAGCCGAUUCAUAACGCAGAUCGAAUUCCGACAGCGCCAAAAUCCAUUUACUGAUCCUGCCACUCAUAAUCGGCAUAGAUAGCAUGUACCGGACCACAUCAUCUUUGCAAACAACAGUGCAUUCGGCCGAUAACAAGUAGUGCCUUAACUUGAUACACGAAAAAUAUAAGCAUAGGCAUAGUUUCUCAAUGGCCGAAUACCUGGUCUCAGCAUCAAUCAACCUCCUGCUUAAGUAAUAAAUUACACGCUCUUUCCCUUCAAAUUCCUGAAUCAAAGCUGAACCGAUAACCAUCCCAUCGGUAGACAAAUACAAUCUGAAGGGUUUUCCUUGCUGAGGUGGAAUUAGAACUGGAGGAUUCACUAGAUACUUCUUGAUUUCAUCCAGAGCCAACUGCUGUUCUUUCCCCCAAAUAAAUUCUUGAUCGGCUUUUAGCUUAAGAAGAGGACUGAAAGCACGAAUUUUACCAGACAAAUUAGAUAUAAAUCUCCUGAUAAAAUUUACCUUGCCGAUCAAGGACUGGAGCUCAGUCUUGUUGGUAGGGGCUAUUAUUUUAUUGAUGGCAUCAAUAGAUCUUCGACUAAUUUCAAUUCCCCUUUGAUGCACCAUGAAACCGAGAAACUGCCCUGCCGAUACACCAAAUGCAUACUUAUUGGGAUUCAUCUUCAACCCAUGCUUCCUUGUGCACUCCAAUACCUUUCGUAGAUCGGCAAGAUGCUUUGCAAAGUCCCCGGACUUGACCACCACAUCAUCAAUAUAAAUUUCUACCAGUUUGCCAAUGAACUCAUGAAAUAUAAAAUUCAUGGGCCUUUGAUAAGUAGCACCAGCAUUCUUAAGGCCAAAAGUCAUAACUAUCCACUCGAACAAUCCAACAUGACCAGGGCAUCUGAACGCAGUCUUCAGAAUGUCUUCUUCAGCCAUGAAUAUUUGAUUGUACCCUGCAUUACCAUCCAUAAAGCUAAUAAUCCGAUGCCCAGCUGCAGCGUCAACCAACAGAUCGGCAACUGGCAUUGGGUAUCCAUCCAUCGGUGUAGCUUUGUUAAGGUUCCUGAAAUCAAUACAGACCCGAAGUUUCCCGUUCUUCUUGUAGACCGGAACAACAUUGGAAAUCCAUUCGGCAUACCGACACUGCCAAAUAAAUUUAGCUUCAAUAAGUUUGGUUAUUUCGGCUUUGAUGUCAGGAAGAAUAUUAGGAUUACAUCGGCGAGCUGGCUGCUGAUGUGGCCGAAAUCCAGACUUGAUAGGCAACCGAUGUUCAACAAUUGAUCGGUCUAAACCAGGCAUCUCAGUAUAAUCCCAAGCAAAGCAAUCUUUAUAUUCCUUCAACAAAUUGGUCAAUUGCUGCUUACAUUUAGGAUUUAACUUAGCACUAAUAAAAGUAGGUCUAGACUUAUCACCACUACCGAUAUCUACUUCUACCAAAUCAUCGGCCAAUGUGAAUCCCUGGCCUAACUUUCCAUCAUCGGCGAACCUAUCCAUUAAAAACCGUCGUCAGAACCGACUGCUUGGAUCGGUGGAAUCUCGUAAUCGGCAACCUUGAGAAAAUCUUUCUCCCAAACUUCUCCUGAAAUGCACCUAGUCCUCUCAUAGGUGUCUGCCUCUGCCGACGCAAUGACAUAAGAAGAAUCUCCCGGGACAAUCUCAAUUUUGUCACCUACCCACUGAACCAAACAUUGGUGCAUUGUAGAUGUGAUGCAACAAUUGGCAUGAAUCCAAUCUCUUCCCAACAGUAAGUUGUAAGCACCCUUUCCACUGAUCACAAAGAAUGUCGUCGGCAAGGUUUUGCUGCCGAUGGUCAACUCUACACAUAUUGCCCCCUUGACCGGAGACAUAUUUCCUUCAAAGUCUUUGAGCAUCAUAUCGGUCUUGGUUAAAUCUUGAUCUCCUUUUCCAAGCUUCCGAUACACCGUAUAUGGCAUGAUAUUGAUAGCAGCUCCUCCAUCAAUUAAGAUCUUAGUCAUCGGCUGCCCAUCAACCCUUCCUUUGACAAACAGGGCCUUGAGAUGCUGUCUUUCAUCAUCGGCAGGCUUCUCAAAGAUAGCCGUCAUCGGAUCUAGAGCCAACUGAGCUAUUUGAUCGGAAAAUUCCACCUCAUCAUCAUCGGAUGGCGCAAGGAAUUCCAUCGGCAACAUAAAGACCAUGUUGACAUCUGCCGAUGGACCUUCCCCCUUAGGAUCUGGUUGUUGCCGAUCCUCAGGUUUUCCAGAGCUCUCGCCCUUGCUUAGCCCUUCUUGCCUUUCACGCUGCAAUCUCCUCUUCUGUGUCUUGGUCAACCCUUCCGGACACCAUGGAGGAAGUGGCUUCUGCCUUGCUGCUGGGCGUCGAUUCUCCCUCGACUCCAUCCGAAGCGUAUUAGCAUCCCUGCAAAAUAUGAACUCAUCGGGAACUCGUGCAUUAGCCAUCUCCUCGAGCUCUUCCUUGUUCCUGGGAAAAUAUUGGACACGAUCACCAAGCCUAUCGUGCACACUGAGCCUGCCCCCCAGCCGAUCAUGAACUGAUGCUCUUCCUCUGAUCGGCCCAUUAAAUCGCCGAUUGUCAUCAUGAUAACGCCGAUCGGUCCUAUCAUACCGAUCAUAACCAUUGCACUCAGGACAGUCCCUGACAGUAGGAAGCUUAAUAUUCUCCUCCCAACAAUGGAUGAAGAACGGACAGUUCCAGUGAUCUCUAUGCCGAUUCCACUCCUGUCGGCGUCUUUCUUCUUCCCGACGAUAAUCUUCUUGCUGACGCCGAUAUCGAUCUUCCCGUUGCUGCCAGUUAUCUCGAGGCCUUCUAUGAGUUAUAACGAUGCCAGACUGAGGGGGCCUACCUGAGCUGGUUCCUUCCUGAACCAAGCCCCUACCUCUUGCAUCGGCAGUAGUAACUUGAUGCUGAGGAUCUACCGAUGCACUUCUCUCGGCUGCUUCUGAUGUUAAGACCUUGGCCUUUCCCUUGGCAUCCAACAUGUUUGUCGGGAAAGGAUGUUGGUCUAUCUUCAUCGGCUUCUGGGUCUUGGAACUGUCAAACUUGAUUCUCCCAGUCUCUAUAGCCGAUUGCAGCUGCUGUCUGAAAACCUUGCACUCAUUGGUGUCAUGAGAAGUUGCAUUAUGCCACUUGCAAUAUUUCAUCCUCUUUAACUCCUCAGCCGAUGGGAUCACGUGAUUAGGAGACAGCUUGAUCUGACCUUCCUGAAGUAAAAAAUCAAAUAUCCUAUCGGCCUUAGCGGGGUCAAAAGCGAACUUCUCUGGUUCCUUCUACCCAAAAGGACAAGACAUCGGCUUCUUGUUCUUUACCCACUCUGCCAAGCCGAUGACUAGUUCCUCAUCAGAAUCUGAGCUUGUUGCCUCAUCAACAAAUGACACCUUCUUGUUCCAUGCUCUUUUGGGCUCGAAAGGCUUGAUGUCUUGAUCAGAAAUCCUCUGCACCAAAUGACUUAAGCUUUCAAACUCCUGAGAGGCAUACUUAUCCCUGAUGUGUGGCAAUAAACCCUGGAAAGCCAAAUCGGCUAGCUGCCGAUCAUCCAGAACCAGACUAUAGCAUUUAUUCUUGACUUCCCGUAUCCUCUGCAUAAAGCCUUCAACCGACUCAUCAUUGCGUUGCCUCAAUUUGACCAAAUCGGUGAUCUUCUUCUCAUGAACCCCAGAAAAGAAGUAUUUGUGGAAUUGUUUCUCCAGAUCGGCCCAAGUAAUCACCGAGUUGGGAGGUAGUGAUAUGAACCAGGUAAAGGCCGAUCUAGACAACGAUGAUGAAAAUAAACGAACCCUUAAUUCGUCCCUAUUACCAGCUUCUCCGCAUUGAAUGUUGAACCUAUUGACAUGCUCCAUGGUUGACGUGUCGUCUUGCCCAGAAAACUUAGUAAAGUCCGGUACCUUGUACCGAUGCGGAAGCGGGAUCAAAUCAUAUGCGAGAGGAUACGGUGUUCGAAAAGAGUAAGUGUUGACUUUGGGUUUUAUCCCAAAUUGAUCCCUCAUUACUUCAGCGAUCUUAUCGGCCCAAUACGCAUCGGCAUCUUGCCGAUGGGGUGGUUGUGGAUCUGGCAUCUGCUGGUAAGCCUCCACGUGUCUGUUUGGUGCAUGAUCUGCAUGGAACAUUGGGUUGAUUAUAUGGCCUCCUACCUGUGGACCACCAAGCUGUUGCCCGCCAAUCUGCUGUCCACCGACUUGCUGCCCGAGAUUCAUUGGCUGAUUAGGGAAUCCCAGAUUCUGGAAUCCGAGAUAGAUCUAUCCUUGCUGGAACCCUGUAGCCUGGUGACUCUGUUGGGGCAUUUGUGGAAAGACUUGCUGCCCAAGCCAUCCAUUAUUAGCGUUCAUCGGCACAGGCCCUGCCGAUGACUGGUAGUUGGGCAUCAUCAUUGAAUUGACAUACCCUGAUUGAGCCAUAGACCCCUGUUGUAUCAGCAUUGACUCUGCCGAUGCGUUAGGCAUCUGGAACAUUGGAGCUUGAGAAUUCCCAGUGUAAGGUCUUGCAGUAGUAGUUGUAGUAUACUGGGGACUCUGGUUCAUCGGCAUAUUGGGAGGCGUUGAUGCCAUAGGAGUCUUGCCUCUCACAUCAGUCGUCUGCGACGUACCCGGCGUUAACUCUGGAGGCAUACCAUAACCCCACCAGUUAGGAGGAGGAGUUAAUCCUAACAUUGCCGAUGCCAACAGAUCUGUGGCGAGUUUAAUUUGCCCAUCUGAAGUCGGAGGAUUGGUUGUCAUCGGCGUAGUAUUCCUGACUCCCAACGUACUCGGAGGAACGGUGGUUUGUGAACCCACAGCGGCCGUAGCAGCCGAUGGAGCUGUGACCACCGGUGACUUCGGUUGGUGAUAAGUGGGGCCCACAUGAUAAGUGGGGCCCACAUAAUCCAGUGGCAACUGUCCUUCCUUGAAAGUUCUUGCCACGGCAUUGAAAACCGUGUUAGACAGCACACCAGCUUGAUUGAUCAGAGCACGAUUGAUAGCGCUGUCAACCAUCUCUUGAAGUUUGCCAGGAUUGGCUUCAAAAGUAACCUGCCGUGGUGCCGGCAGUGCAUCCUUCUGGAUCACUUUGCCGCUCCUGUUUAUGCUGAAGGACCUCAGGCAUUGCUGCUUGUAAUCCUCCAUGGCUUUAGCGAUAGCUUGCUUCUGCUCAUCCUUGAGAUUGGCUUUCGUCACGGGGAUGACGUUCUCUUGAUCAAACUCAGAAGUCGACAUGUUGAUCUUGGUCUUGAAUCUGUCCCACCGGGCGUGCCAAAAGAUGUGUUGAUGCAAAAGCUGGUCUGCAAACACAAAGGGCUAAUACCCGAUUCAAACGUUAAGGCGUGCGAGCCGAUUUGACCUUACUAUCGGCAAAGGUGAUAACUCGAAUACUUUAGUCCUGACAACAGCGAUGCGCCCGGAUGUCACGGCUAAGAGGUACUCACGCGGAACUCGAGAACACGCCGAGCUUAAGUCGACGAAUUCCUAAGAACUCAUAAUAAAAGGGGAAAAGUAUGACGAAGUCGUCGAAAAAGUAGAUGCUGGAAUAUGAGUAAAAACGUGUGUUUGAUUGAUUGAUAGACGUCUCAUUACAAGGCCUUAGGGUCUACAUUUAUACCCUGCUCAAAGAGCUACAACCAGACACGAUUAGAAUUCGAAUUCCAAAUUACACAGAAUCUGUAUACAAAACGAUUUAAAUAACUAAGGAAAACAUAAAGCUAUCCCUCGUGACAAGCUGGAACUCCUCCACAAACCGAUCGGCAGCUUCCGGACUUUCCCUCCGUAUCAUCGGCAGAUUCCCUUGUCAUAGUCAUCGGCAGACUUCCUUGUCAUAGCCAUCGGCACAGACACAUCACCACCUAUAGACUUAGUCAUGCUCAACCCCUCCUUCAUCGGCAACCAUCCUCAUCGGCAGCUCAUCCUGUAGACAAAACACCGCCGUCUCACUCUAUCGGCCUGCACUCUACCAAACAUGGACACGUGCCCAAAAACGGUGUCAACAGGAUUGCAUUGGGAUAGAAGGUUGAGGCUUGAAUCUUGCAUUUUUUAUGGACAUCACCAUAUGUGUUGGAAUGACAUUACUUGAAUUGCUCUUGAGAUACCACAUAGGAUCUUUGACCUUGAUACCAUUUGGUGGGACACUCCCCCUAUGUCAUAGCAUUGGUCAUUCACUUGUCAAUCUUGUUGGUGAGGGAACUUUUCUUUGCUUGAUGAUCACUUAAAGUUGAGGAUCACUUGUGGAACCACCGUCUUGUAUGAUACAUACUGUAUGUAUAAAUGUGAUAUUUGAAAUAUCUUGUCCGAUAUCAUAUGGGAUUCUUUUAUCAAUUAAGGUCAUCUAGUAUGGAACCACUUGUUUGCUAUCUUGAACAUUUGCUAUCAUCAUCAUGAGUACCAAUUGUAGGAUAUUACUUGAAGAAACAUUUGAGUCUAGAUAUCCAUUUGCAUUGUUGUCUUGUUCUUGUACUCUAAUCACCAUGAGCUUCUAAUAGUUGACUUGAACUAAGUUGAUUUGCUAAAGCUUCCAAGUCCGAUUUGAACCAAUGACAAGCUUUUGGACACCUCACAUUAAGGGUUAUCUUGCCAAUGUUGUACUUGUCACUUGUUAACAAUCCAAAAUAGAUCAAGUACUUUGGUUCACUAGCUCAUGAACAAACUCAUAUACAUACCACUAGAUCAACUAAUCAUUCAAGCAGUAGUGGUAGGCUAUGAAUUGAAAACUUUUCAUUUGUCAUGCAUGAUCCUAUUAAGCAUGUACUAUAUGCACUAACUGCAUACUAGUAAGGGAUGAUACCUUUGCUAUCUUGGAGUAGAGGAUAGUCACAUAGAUUCCAAUUCAUUUCUCCAAUAGCAAUGUGAAGUCCAAUUGAUAAGCUUGGUGAAGACCAAUCAUAGAUACCAAUUGAUAGAUCAAAUCUUCACCCAUAUGAAUUUAGAACCACUUAUUAUCAAGUGCAUUGUCUUGUUGUGGUUGGCUUGCUUCAUCUUUUCUUCAUCAUUGCUUGCAUGAGAGAACUAAUAAGAAUACCACUUGAACAUCAUGACUAGCUCUCUUUGGGUGUUGCUUGCUUUCUUGAUCAAUCCUUUUGAUUGCUUCAACUAAGUAUCACAAAUGUCCUUUAGAUCACCACUUCCAUGUUAGCCUUCCAAGCACCACACUUGGUUUACCCACUCCUCGGGCGGCACGCCCCUCUCAUAGGGAGAAGUGACCUCUCUCUAAAGAAUGAUUCUUGACACUCACUUGAAUUGCCUUUGAUUGAUUGAUUCAAGUGAUGGACUUCAUAUGAUGAAUAUCCGUGGACCCUUCUUUAAGUCCUUUUGUUUCUACUUGUUUAUGUUCUUUUUCUUUCUAAAUAAUCUCCAAUAGUCAGUAGAACUUAAACUUCAUCUUCAUCUUGAGUUUGAUCUUGAUCUUCAAUUUGAGUACUAAAUGUGUACACCAAGUACAUUCCACAAUCAAAUGACCUUGUACUCGUUACUUGUCAUGCUUCUACAUCAAUUCAAAAACCAAAUUUAGGUGCCUCAAACACUUAUGAUCAUGUUUCCAACUUGAGCAUCUUUCAAUUGAAGUGACUCUAGAUCAAUCCAAUAAUUGUCACUUUUCUGGCAGAUUCUGUACUCUCUAAAGAAAUAUCCAUAUCUCACAAUGUAUAGAUCCAAAUACCACGAAAAUUGGUGGAGAUGUGAUUCACUAAGUCAUCUAGCAGCUGUAAAAAUUUGAGCUUCAUUUCAAUUCUAUAUUGCUUCCAGAUUCCAAUUCUUCCACCACUGCUACAUGCUGAAAUCUGCUGCACUAUAGCUGAUAAGAUCCACUCCAAAACCGAAGUGUCCCUUAUACAAUUCUCGUGAAAUUUCUACAGCAUCUUCUAUGAUAAGUGUACAGCAUUCAUACCAAAUUUCAAGCCAUUCCAAAUAGAUUUGAUCACUCAAACGCAGACUUGAUCUCAGCUAGCUCAGAUUCUCAAUGUUGGACAGAUUUCAAGCAAUUGAGCUAUACUUCUCCAAAUUGAAUCAAACUUGAAAUAGACUCAUUUGAAUACUUUCACAAGACAUAAAUCCAUUCAAUCCACUUACUAAGUGUCAUCUUAUGAACUUAUUCAACUCAAAUCAAUCCAAACUUGAUUACUAAGCAUUUAUCCAUUCAAACAAUUUAUAGCAAGCAACAUUGCAUAUAUAUCCAAUUCAAUCAACUCAUAUGCACCCAAAUAAAUGUGAUCAACAAAUAUAUACCUUGGUUAUCUCAUGAUCAUCUAAUUUGCAAGCUUCAACUCAUGUAUUUGCAAGCCAUCAAAUGAUCCAAUAAAUCACCACAACUUGAAUGUGACACUUGUAUGUUGUAGCACAUUUGGACUUCGCUAUCUUGUCAUGGCAUUGGGUUUGGAUGUGCACUAGGCUUCAAUACUUGACUCAAUCAUAUGAUGAACGAUUAUAGGAUUAAUUGAAUCAAGUCUCCAAUGCCGAUGGUACCUACACACAAUCAUCCACUUUUUGAUGGUACCCAAACUAGUUUGGAUCCUCUCAAGUUAGGAGCAACAUACUUAGGCGAUGCCUUAGUAUGAGUAGCGGGAUGUUUUGCAAUAGCAACCAUAGAGGUAACAUUACCAUCCUUUCUAAGCAUAGUAAAACCAUCAAUUGAAAUAGGCUUAGAAUUAUUACUUAGGGGACAUGAAUAAGCCAUGUGUCCCCUUUCCCGGUAUAAGUAGCAACUUCUCUUUGAUUGAGCCUUUUCUUCCUUGCUCAUGUGUUGCUUCUCAUUGCCUUGCCUCUUGAGAGUUGCUUGAGCCUUCUUCUCAAGCUUGGUAGGACACCUCGAGGCAAAGUGUCCCUCAUUCUUGCACUCAAAACACAUGAUGUGAGCAUAAGCCUUCUUCUUGUCUUGAUUCUUGCUCAUCAUCUUGGCAUCUUGGAUUUGCAUUGGAUGCCUUGCUCUUCCACCCCUUCUUGUUUUCUUCUUCUUCUUCAUCAAGUCACCGUGAUGGUUGAAUUUGACUUGAGCUUGGGGCUUCUUUUCUUGCUCAACUUGUGGCUUAGGUUGAGGCUCUUCUUGUUGCUUCACCAAUUGCUUGGUUGGGCACAUUGAGGUGAGAUGACCCCAAGUGCGGCACUUGAAGCACUUGACAUGCUUGAGCCUCUCUUCUUCUUUCAUCUUCUUGAGCUUCUCUUUGUUUGGGCAACCAUUAGCAAGAUGUCCCACUUCAUGGCACCGAUAGCACAUGAAAUGAGAAAGAUUCCUCUUUUCUUGCUUUCUUUUUCCCUUUGUCAUCUUCUUCUUGAAGCCAAGGCCACACUUGUCACCAUAGUUUCUUUGAGUCUUCAAUAUAUGCUCAAAGGUGACUUUUGAGUAGUAACACCUCUCUAACUUGUUGCUCAAAUUCUUCACUUCAUUUUUGAGCUCAUUGUUCUCCUUCGAAAGGUUAGUCUCACAAGACAUAGAAGUAGAACAAAUGUGUCUAAUUGUGAAGAACAUGGCGUAGAUAAUAAAUCAUCACAAGAGGUGGAUACAUGCUUCUUGCCUACAUCACAAGGGUUAGUAACGAUAUGUGAUUGAUCAUUUGAUCCAAGUGAUGAGCUAUCACUAGUUUUAAUUUCUUCAUUAGAAAUCUUCUUAGUGAGGAAAGCACGAUCUUUUACCAAGUUAUCAUGAGUAACACAAAGUUCCUCAUGAACCAAUUUUAGCUCCUCAUGUGAACAAGUAGUAACAUAAAGUAGAUGCUUUUGUUGUUCACAUGUGGUCUUUAGAAAUGAGUUUUCAUUUUUCAAUUUAUUUUUUUUGCUUGCUCAUUUCAUAAAGCUUUUGAGAGUUUGCAUACAAGCUCAAAAUUUGGACCAUCACAAUCAAUAAUCACAUCACCAAUAGAUACCUUAGUGUCACCAUGUGACAUGAAGCAAUGUGGUGAUGUAGUAGAUGAGCUUGUGGAAGCAUCACUCUUAUAGCCAUCAUCUUCAUCAUCAAGUGUGCAUGAGGUAGCAUCAUUGGUUGCAUCACUUGUGGCAUCAUCAUUGUCCUUGUCAAGUGAUCUUGUGGUAGCAUCAUCAUCACAAUCACUUGACCAUGAGGAGGACCAAUCCUCCACAAUCACCAUGUUGUGGUCAUGCUCAAUAUCCUCAUUUGCAUCCACUUUUGACAUAUCAUAUUCUUUGGAUAUUGCCCCAUAUUUCUCAUUGAGAAAUACCCAAAUCUCAUGGGCGGACUUCAUAUCCAUGAUCUCACCAAAUAUAUUAUCUUUCAUAGAUGAGUAGAAGAUGUUAGUAGCUUGGCAAUCAAGAUGUGGGCAUUUCUUUUGCGCUUGAGUUGCAACCUUUUUAUCAAUUGCACAAGAAAAGCCCAUAUCUAUGAUCCACCACAUUUGAGGUGAAAUAAACUUAAAAUUGCAUUGCAUCCAAUUUCUCUAUCGUGCAAAGUAUGUGCCAUCAAAAAUGUGUGGACACUCAACAUCUAGCCCAUAAGCCGCCAUCUUCUCGGGUCGGUGAAGACCACAAAUGAGAGACCUAGCUUUGAUACCACUUGAAGGGUCGAGAUGGUGGACUAGAGGGGGGGUGAAUAGUCCUUUCUAAAACUUAUCGCGCCGGCUAACCGAAAAAAAUGUGGAAUUAAAACUAUCGGUCUAGCCAAGACUACACCCCUCUAUCUAAGUUCUCUAGCACCUUGAAAAGAUCCUAAACAAGCAAGCAAGGUGCUACCUUAGCAAGAGCUCACCUAACCAAAUCUAGAAGCAAGGUCACACAAACCUAUGCAACUAGUACUUUGCAAACCGGGGGAGCUCCUACACAAACUAGUGAGGCAAAGCACACAAAGCCUAAGCUCACUAGCAAGCUCAAUAACAAGGCAACUAAUGCCGAAUUAGAGAGCGCAACUUACUUAGCUACACAAACUAAGCAAUGUGACUAACAAGGUUACACAAACCAAAUUAGUCACGCAAGGAAACUACUUCUAGCUACACAAGCAAGAAGGUAACUAGCAAGCUACACAAGCUAACUAAUUACAAGAGCAACUACACAAGCACAAGUAUAUGAAUGUAACAACAAGCUUGUGUUAGGGACUUGCAAACCAACGGGAAGAACAAUGUUGACACGAUGAUUUUCUCUUGAGGUUCACUUGGUUGCCACCAAGCUACGUUCCCGUUGAGACAAGCUCCAAGGUUGCCGCCGGUCCUCUUGCUAGUGGUGACCCGCAAGUCACACUCUCCCACAUGGAGUGCUUACCACAAGCUCUAGCACUUGACCCGGCUGGACCACUUGUCGCUCUUCACGUCUUGCUCAACUAGAGUUGCUCUUCGCGAUCCCCGCGGGGUGAGCACCGUACCCCUCACAAUCUCUUCUCCAGAGCACCGCACAAUCUCUUUGCAUGCUUCGACGGAGUCACAAGCCACCAAGCCGUCUAGGAGGUGGCAACCUCCAAGAGUAACAAGCACCACCGGCUUGCAACACGAACACCUAGUGCCACUCGAUGCAAUCUCUCAAAGCAACGAACUAGAAUCGCUCACUCACACAAUCGGAUGAUCACUAUCAAACAUAUGUGAGUUAGAGGCUUUACUAGCACUCCCCAAGCAUGGACACUAAGUCCCAAGGGUGCUCGACGCCAGCCAAGGCCAGCCACCACUUCUAUUUAUAGCCCCAAGGGCUAAACUAGCCGUUGUCCCUUCAGUGGGCAAAAGACGUGAGAACCGGACUCACUGUAGGUAGCACCGGGCGCUUGAACAGUGCGUCCGGUGCUAUAGAAACAGCCACGUGUCACUAGCCGUUUGAACUCGACCGUUGCCGCCAACGGCUAGCACACGCACGCGCAUCUGGAACAGUAGCACCGGACGCGUCCUGUGCGCACCGGACACAUACGCAGAGAGCAACACAAACUUGUAGCAGCACCGGACUCUCAGCGUCCUGUGACACCGAACUCGUCCUGUGCGCACCGGACUCUCAGCGUCCUGUGCCUGCAGUUCAACUUGUUAGGUUGCUAACUUCUAGCUCCGAACUUCGAAUUCGAUGAUCUUGGACAUUUUGGAAAGCUUACUUAGAGUGCUAUCCAAUCUAUAUGAAUACUCAAUACAAAUCAAAAUGGAUCAAAGCAGUAUUCCAAUCUAAAAGCCAUCCUAAUGUCCAGAGAACAUUGAAAGACUUCUCUCUCUUCUCUAAGUUGAACAAAAUUAACUCCAACACCUUCUCCUUUGCUAAAGUGCCAACACCACCAAGUGUACACCACCAUGUGCAAGUAUGUUAGCAUUUUCACAAAUAUUUCCCCGAAGGAGUUAGCCUCUCAACUUGCCACGCCACUCGAUCCUAACACGUAUGCUAAGUUAGAUCGCUCAAGUGGCACUAGAUGACCGAUAUGCAAACAAGUUUGCCCCUCUUGAUAGUAUGGCCAUCUAUCUUAAAUCCGGUCAUAAACUUCUCUACACACCUAUGACCGGUGAAAUGGAAAUGCCCUAGGUUAUACCUUUGCCUUGCGCUUUCCAUUCCAUCUCCUCUAAUGUUGAUGCAACACAUUCACCAAUCAAUCACCAAAUGAUAUGAUCCACUUCAUAUCAUCACGUGACCAUAUUGGUUCAUCGAUCUUGACCUCACUUGCUCUUCACUGUUGUCUCGGUCCAUCGGCGCCAAGUCUUGCUCAAGCUUCAUCGUCACACGCGGUCCCUCGCUUCAAAGCCUCUGACUUGGCCUUCACUCUUGCAACCGGUCCAUCAAGCCAAGCCUCAUCUUGAUCUUCUCCACCUUGGUCACAUGACUCCAUGUCAUGUCUCAUAUGCAAUGAGCUCCUUCAUCACAUCAUCACCUGUGGACUAAUCUCCUAUGUAUCUCACAUAAACACUAUUAGUCCACCUAAGUUGUCACUCAAUUACCAAAACCAAACAAGGACCUUUCACCCAGGUAUGCCAAGCAUCCAGUGCUCCAUUAAUGGAUACAACUUCCAGAAGACGCUUUGCGACACUGGGUCGGGCGUCAACAUAAUGGCCUCAAUCACCUAUCAGCUCCUCUUCGGAAACAUGGCCAUAAAACUGACGUACAUUCAGCUCCAGAUGGUAGAUCAAACAUUCGAAAAGGUUGAAGGUAUAGUAACUGAUGUCUCUGUCAAAAUAGAUGAUCACUUUGUCCAUACAGAUUUUAGGUUAUUGACAUAGGAGAAGACGAGUACGAUCCACCCAUCAUCCUUGGGAGACCGUUCGUCAGCACCGUUAAAGCAAUCAUCUACAUUGGAAUCAGAGAAGUCCACAUGCACUUCCCCUCUGAGAAGGUAUGCCGCUAUUUUACUGACCCUAACUAUAUAGUUGAAGACUCUAAGCAGGUCAGGACAAGAAGAAGAUGACGCAACUGCAACCAGAGGAGGCAAAUCAUCAAGGACGGAUGGGCAGACUACGAAGGAGAAGUGGUAAGGUCUGAAGACAUACAACUUGAACAGAACUGUCCUGAGGAGACCAUAGCACUGAGUCAGGUGUGGAGAGAGAAGAUAAUUAUACAUGAAGAGGUGGCACCACCGGAACCACCAACUAUGCCAUCCAGCGAAUCCCACGACGACUGAAAAAACAACAGAGAGUCCUGUUCGGAGGACUUAAAAUGCCGAACGCCUUGCCAAGAGGUAAACUUGGUAGUUAUCAUUUUCCAUUCAAUUAUUUAAAAUAGUUUGCUUAGUUAAUCAGGUUCAUAUCAUCUUGAAAAGAAAAAAAAUAAAAAUGUGAAAACCAGUAAGCCCCAUGUGAGUAUACAAGUGGCAUAAAACCCAUAAGUACAUUCACUGUGGUGGCAUAAAAAAUAAUAAAAUAAAAAUAUUCUUCUGCUCUAUAAAAAUAUAAAAAUAAAAUUGUGAUCCUACCAAAGAAAGUAGCAUUUAUUGAGGAGGCUCAAUAUGAUAAAGGCUAGAUAUUUAUUGUAAAACCUAAUCAGUUCCACAAAGCUUUGUUGUCUAUUUGAGCUCCACAGAAUUAGAGGAUCAAGAAGACUAGCAGACGGGGGACAUUCUAAUUGUUGUCAGGGUGCUGCCGACUUUCAAAUACACCACCACCACCUGCUAUCUACAUCAGAAGAAAUUACAUCAAAUUCCAGCUUGGGGGAGAGCACCCCUAGUUAUCCCGUUAAGUAUUUCUAUCUAUCUAUAUACUUAUACUAUAUUAAAAUAAAAAAAUAUAUACAUAACCAUGAAAAACCAAAUAAAGAUUUUGUGCUUAUAUAUAUAUAUCAUUUGCUUAGUAUGCUUAAUAAAUAAAUAAUGUGGCUAUGCUAAACUAAAUCUUAAUAAAACUCUAGCAUGGAUAUGAUGAAUAGUUGCUCUACCUAGUUUCAAAUCUGAAGUUCUCUCUCUCAAAGUUUAGACAUAACUAUUAUCAUUUAAAGCUUAUUCUAAAAACCUGAACUUGUGGGAAGAGAACUUGAUCUGAAGUCUAAGUUGUUAACGGAUAUGAUAUGGGAAGGUUGAGCUGCUGUUUAUCUAUUCCUAGAGAUGCUAAAAAUCUGGAGAAUUUUAUCUUUGAAAAUCUUUAAAAUAUCACAUGAUGAGUUCCUGUACGAUGAAAGUUUAAAUUCCUACCACAGCCAUACAUACAUGCUUGCUAGACUUUGAGCCACACAUUUACUUUUUACUGCUUAUGAGCAUUGAGUGUGGUCAAGCUGUGUAGACCCUUAGGAGCUUGUCAUGCGGUUAAAAUCAAGAUUCACUUGCACGUUCACUCACACCUGCUGCUUCUACUCUGGAAGUACGCAUCCACAUAUAUCCACUCAUUUCCAUCUCCAGAGCCACCCAAAAGUAUUCUAAUCCUAAUCCGGGAGAGAAUAGCCAAAAACAUUGUCCUAUUUCUGUUUUUCCCUGUGAAAUAAAUGCUCGAGUUAUCUUGGUUACUACCACUUGCUAUAUUAUUUUAGGAGAUGAGUGCUCUAAAAAAAGAGAAAGGAUACGAGGAAAUAAAAAGGGGCAAGUGCCCGGAACCUCGAAAGAAAAGAAAAAGUGAGACGAGAGGUAAAAAUGGACAAGUGUCCGACAGUAGAAUUUGGGGUACAAGAUACCCACCUGAGAGGAAAGAAAAAUAAAAUGUAGAGCAUCUCAUUCUCCUCAAAAAGUUUCAAAAGAGCAAGAACGGUAUGUAUCCCCUCAAAAGAGCAAAAAGUAGAAUUAGACUUUCACUAUUAUUAUCACCAUCAUCACCAUACACCAUUCAUUCGCCACACAUGCACAUCUUGAUUUAACUUAUUGACUUGUUCCUCUGGAUCUAUGGUUUGACUAUGCAAUAAAUGUCUUGUAAGUAUGUAUACUUUAUCUCAAACCUAUGAGCUCCAGAUAUCAAAAGCCUUAUUAAAGUAGGGUGAGAGAGAAGGCAAGGUCACUAUGCUUCAUACCACAAAUACUACAUACUUUGAGAGAAGGCAUAUACCAUCACUGCCUUGGUAAGGAUCCAGAAAUACCACAAAAGAGAGAUCUGAGAGAGUCAUACAAGGAAUCUCUGAGUUCUAUUUGAAAAUUUGCAAAAAACUCC
rnacentral:lncRNA from 1 species